rnacentral:rRNA from 1 species
AAUCAACGCUGGCGGCGUGCCUCAGACAUGCAAGUCGAACGAUUAAACUUUCCUUCGGGAAAGAUAUAAAGUGGCGCACGGGUGAGUAACACGUAGGUAAUGUACCUUUGGGUGGGGAAUAACCAUCGGAAACGAUGGCUAAUACCGCAUAAUGCAGCGGCAUCGCAAGAUGACAGUUGUUAAAGAUUUAUCGCCUAAAGAGCAGCCUGCGGCAGAUUAGGUAGNGGUAAGGUAAUGGCUUACCAAGCCUGCGAUCUGUAACCGACCUGAGAGGGUGGUCGGUCACACUGACACUGAAUAACGGGUCAGACU